AGAGGAAGGCGGGUCCCUGGCUCGGCUCUACCCCCAUGGAUCUAGGUGGGCUCAAUGUCAUCACAAGGGUGCUUAAGAGGGAAAGAGGAAGCCAUGAGGGUCAGAGUCAAAGGAAGACUUGAAGAUACUACACUGCGGACUUUAAAGAUGAAGGAAGGGGCGAAAACCAAGAAUGUGGGAAGCCUCUAGAAGCUAGAGAAGGCAAGGAAACAAAUUUUCCACUAGAGCCUCCAGAAGGAACACAGCCCUGCUGACCCACUGUAAUGUCUGACCUCUAGAUGUGUAAGGGUAGUAAGACUGAAAGUCUCAGAAAGGCACUGUUAAAUUCUUAUUCCUCAACUAUGCAACUCAAAACUGGGGUCCUCAGCAGUGAGCGAGGGGUGAGAGAAGACACUGUAUAAACAUGGCACAUCCUCCUGGAAAGUCAACUUUACUCAAAGGCUGCAGGCCGUAUUAUGCUAAAUCAAGGAUACGGGGAGAUAAUUAACAUAGCAACUCUGGCAAUUUUAAUAGGUUCUUACACACAGUGACAGCUAGCAGAGUCUAAAAUGCUGACAUUAUGACUUAGAGAUGUGAUAAAGAGAAACAUCUAUUGCAUUUUCUAGACUGGAGUGGGACAUGGGGAGUGAACUUGAUCUUGCUCUUUUGCAAAUUCAAAGACUAAAGUAUGACCUAAAAGUUUCAGCUGAUGGAGUCUUGUCAAUGCCUUUAUAGCUGCUUUUUAGGGAAUGUGGCAAAAGCUGUAUGUUUCAGCUGCCCCUUAUCUGACAGGUCAUGCACCAACCGUGCCUUGAAGUACUUCAGCAAGUCCUCUUUCUCCUCAGCGGUCAGCUCAGCUGGCAGGUGCCUCACCAGAAGAGUUCGGUCGGCCGAGGCAGGGAAAGUGGGGAGGAGCUUGUGCAUCCCCUUGAUAUUGCAAAUGGCUGAUAGAGAGCUGGCAUUUUCAAGCAAAAAUUGGCCCAGAGACAUGUGGGACUCACUGUCAAGAUUAAUUGUGAAAAGCUGGGCAAGGCUAAGAAGUUAGGUUUUGUUUUUGUUUUUGUUUUUGUUUUUUGUUUUUUUUGAGAUGGAAUCUUGCUCUGUUGCCUAGGCUGGAGUGCAGUGGCACAGUCUCUACACACUGCAACCUCUGCCUCCUGGGUUCAAGCGAUCCUCCCACCUCAGCCUCCCAAGUAGCUGGGAUUACAAGCAUGUGCCACUAUGCUGGGUAAUUUUUGUAUUUUUAGUAGAGACGGGGUUUCACCAUGUUGGCCAGGCUGGUCUUGAACUCCUGACUUCACCUGAUCUGCCUGUCUUGGCCUUCCAAAGUACUGGGAUUAUAGGAGUUGGCCACUGUGCCUGGCCAAAAUUAGGCUUUUAAUCAAAUAAAAUUAAGUGGAACAUUUUGAACUGUCCAAGAUGGGUAGCAUAUAUUAUACUUAUGUGAACGAAUGUUUUAAAUUAUGACAAAGGCUGUACCACUUAAGAGUGUGGGCUUCUAUGUUUCAGAGAAAUUGGUAUCUAAAGCAAAGCUUCCCAAAUAAUGAUAUAAGAUGUCAUUUAUUUUUAUUCUAAAGGAAAGAAUAAAAUGUUUACAUCCAUA
rnacentral:lncRNA from 10 species